rnacentral:misc_RNA from 1 species
GAUGAAGAACGCAGCGUAAUGCGAUACGUAAUGUGAAUUGCAGAAUUCAGUGAAUCAUCGAAUCUUUGAACGCACAUUGCGCCCGCCAGCACUCUGGCGGGCAUGCCUGUUCGAGCGUCAUUUCAACCAUCAAGCCCCAGGCUUGCGUUGGAGCCCUGCGGCUGCCGCAGCCUCCUAAAAGCAGUGGCGGGCUCGCUAUCACACCGAGUGCAGUAGAUUACUCUUCGCUCAGGGCGUGCAGCGGGUUCCGGCCGUGAAACCCCCUACUUUUAAAGGUUGACCUCGGAUCAGGUAGGAAUACCCGCUGAACUUAAGCAUAUCAAUAAGCGGAGGA